rnacentral:tRNA from 1 species
GGAAAAUUAUCUCAGUUGGUAGAGCGCUCCCUUUGCAUGCGAGAUGUACCGGUAUCGAUACCCGGAUUCUCCA